UACGUAGGGUGCAGGCGUUAAUCGGAAUUACUGGGCGUAAAGCGUGCGCAGGCGGUCUUUUAAGUCAGAUGUGAAAUCCCCGGGCUUAACCUGGGAACUGCGUUUGAAACUGGAAGGCUUGAGUGUGGCAGAGGGGGGUGGAAUUCCACGUGUAGCAGUGAAAUGCGUAGAGAUGUGGAGGAACACCGAUGGCGAAGGCAGCCCCCUGGGCUAACACUGACGCUCAUGCACGAAAGCGUAGGGAGCAAACAGG
rnacentral:rRNA from 1 species